UUUCUUUAAUGACCUAAUAAUUAUUAUCUCAAGCUGUGUGAUGUUUGCUUUUUUUUCAUGUUUUUCUUUCCUCAUCCAAUCCUUUCAGUUGCAAGUAUGAAGUGGUGUCUGUGAUGCUGUCCAAGGGUUCUGUUCAGUUGGAUAUUCAAAACAAUCAGAAAAGGACACCAUUGCUUGAAGCCGUUUCCCAGGGUCACCUCGGAAUGACACACAAGCUUAUAGCCCUGGGUGCAAACAUAAAUGCUGUUGAUGGUGAAGGUAACAGCUGUUUGCACCUGGCCGUGGAAAGAAAAGUGUUUGAUUCCAAGGAUGCACCCUUGGAUUUACUAAACGAAUGCUGCACUUCCCUUACCUGAAGAGGAUGAAAUGCUCUCUGGUGUAGUGGUAGGUAGAUAUCUCGCCAGCCAGGGAGCGGACUUUCACCAUAAAAACAACAAAUAUAACACACCAUUUGACCUCAUUAAGGACCCAAAUUUGAGAAAAAUUAGAAGCAUUUUUACCACCACAAUGUUUGUGGUGCAGAAAUAAAGCGGCCACAACAAAAGUUCAUCCAUGUGGACACCUUGUAAUAUGUAAGGGAUGUUCAAACGUUACACUUCAACGAUGUUUGAAGUGCGGGAAACCUGUAACGAGCAGAACUGGAGAUGAGGCUCCAAAGUUUGAAGACAGGUGUGUACAAAUAGAGGCUAUAUGUCAGGAAUUAGGGGCUGCAUCUCAGGCAAUUGGGGCUCCAAAUUGUGAGGACAGGUGUGUACAAACAGAGGCUACAUGUCAGGAAUUAGGGGCUACAUCUCAGGCAAUUGAGAGUCCAGUUCUGAAGGAGAAAGAUCUUCUGAGAGUGGCUAAGAGGUUAGGACGUGAUUGGUGGCAAAUAGGUGAGUAUAUUUGAUUUCUAUAUAUUUUACUUUCACCUGAUCUAUUUUAUUUGUCAGAAUGAAUGAGAACAAGUUACAUUCCUCAUUUCCAAUUGAUAGGUCAUCUGUAUGACAAUUU